CCCUUAGAUGCUCUGGGCCGCACGCGCGCUACACUGGUCGAUACAACGAGUUUCUUUCCUUGGCCGACAGGCCUGGGCAAUCUUUGAACAUCGAUCGUGAUCGGGAUAGAUUCUUGUAAUUUUUGAUCUUAAACGAGGAAUUCCUAGUAAACGCAAGUCAUCAGCUUGCAUUGAUUACGUCCCUGCCCUUUGUACACACCGCCCGUCGCACCUACCGAUUGAAUGGUCCGGUGAAAUCUCCGGACUGGCGUGAGUCGGAGCAAUCUGACAAACACCGGAAAGUUGAUUAAACCUUACCAUUUAGAGGAAGGUGAAGUCGUAACA
rnacentral:rRNA from 1 species